rnacentral:rRNA from 1 species
GUGGGGAAUCUUGCACAAUGGGCGAAAGCCUGAUGCAGCCAUGCCGCGUGAAUGAUGAAGGCCUUAGGGUUGUAAAAUUCUUUCGUCAGGGAUGAUAAUGACCGUACCUGAAGAAGAAGCCCCGGCUAACUUCGUGCCAGCAGCCGCGGUAAUACGAAGGGGGCUAGCGUUGCUCGGAAUUACUGGGCGUAAAGGGCGCGUAGGCGGACAGCUUAGUCAGAGGUGAAAGCCCAGGGCUCAACCUUGGAAUUGCCUUUGAUACUGGCUGUCUUGAGUUUGGGAGAGGUGAGUGGAACUCCGAGUGUAGAGGUGAAAUUCGUAGAUAUUCGGAAGAACACCAGUGGCGAAGGCGACUCACUGGCCCAAUACUGACGCUGAGGCGCGAAAGCGUGGGGAGCAAACAGGAUUAGAUACCCGAGUAGUCC